rnacentral:rRNA from 1 species
UCCUACGGGAGGCAGCAGUAGGGAAUCUUCCACAAUGGACGCAAGUCUGAUGGAGCAACGCCGCGUGAGUGAAGAAGGUUUUCGGAUCGUAAAGCUCUGUUGUUGGUGAAGAAGGAUAGAGGUAGUAACUGGCCUUUAUUUGACGGUAAUCAACCAGAAAGUCACGGCUAACUACGCGCCAGCAGCCGCGGUAAUA